CCAAAUGCCGUGCUAAGUGGCGAAGGAUGUGGCGUUUCAUAAACAACCAGGAUGUUGGCUCAGAAGCAGCCACCAUUUAAAGAGUGCGUAAUAGCUCACUGGUCGAGAGACGCUGCGCCGAAAAUGUCCGGGGCUCAAGCACGGAACCGAAGCUAUGGCAUGACAGCGAUGUCAUGGGUAGGGGAGCGUUCUUAUAAGGAAGAAGCAUUACCGUAAGGAGAUGUGGACAUAUAAGAAGUGAGAAUGCCGGUAUGAGUAUCGAAAAGAAAGGUGAGAAUCCUUUCCACCGAAAGCCCGAGGGUUCCUGAGCAACGAUCGUCGACUCAGGGUAAGUCGGGACCUAAGCCGAGGCGGAGACGCAUAGGCGAUGGACAACAGGUUGAAAUUCCUGUACCGGAUGGAGUCAUUUGAGCAAAGGAGCGACGCAGGAGGGCACAUGAUCGCGCGGCUGGAAGAGCGCGUCCAAGUGCGUAUGCGUAGAGGGAGGCAAAUCCCCCUUUACAGAAGCAGAGACAUGAUGGGGAGUUAAAGGAGACUUUGACGAACUCAUGGAUCCCACACUGCCAAGAAAAACUUCUAGCGAGACGAAAUCCGCCCGUACCGUAAACCGACACAGGUAGGCGGGGAGAGAAUCCUAAGGUGCGCGGGAAAACCCUCGUUAAGGAACUCGGCAAAUUGCAUCCGUAACUUCGGGAGAAGGAUGACCCUGAGUAGGCGAAAGGGAGAAACCCCCGGAACAGAAAAGGGUGGCAGAAAAGAGGCCCAAGCAACUGUUUACCAAAAACACAGGUGCCUGCGAAAGCGAAAGCUGAAGUAUAGGUGCUGACGCCUGCCCGGUGCUGGAAGGUUAAGGAGAGAGGUCAGCGAAAGCGAAGCUUUGAACUGAAGCCCCAGUGAACGGCGGCCGUAACUAUAACGGUCCUAAGGUAGCGAAAUUCCUUGUCGGGUAAGUUCCGACCCGCAUGAAAGGCGUAAUGAUUUGGGCACUGUCUCAACGAGGGGCCCGGUGAAAUUGAAAUACCUGUGAAGAUGCAGGUUACCCGCGACUGGACAGAAAGACCCCAUGGAGCUUCACUGCAGCUUGAGAUUGAAUCCCGGUGACAUAUGCACAGGAUAGGUGGGAGGCUAAGAAGUAAUGCCUUUGGGUGUUACAGAGCCGAUGUUGGGAUACCACCCUUAUGUUGCUGAGAUUCUAACACGGAGACUAACAACCUCGUGGACCAUCUCAGGCAGGCGGUUUGACUGGGGCGGUCGCCUCCUAAAAUGUAACGGAGGCGCCCAAAGGUUCCCUCAGGCCGGACAGAAACCGGCCGAAGAGUGCAAAGGCAGAAGGGAGCUUGACUGCGAGACAGACAAGUCGAGCAGAGACGAAAGUCGGGCUUAGUGAUCCGGUGGUACUGAGUGGAAAGGCCAUCGCUCAACGGAUAAAAGCUACCCUGGGGAUAACAGGCUAAUCUCUCCCAAGAGUUCAUAUCGACGGGGAGGUUUGGCACCUCGAUGUCGGCUCAUCACAUCCUGGAGCUGGAGUAGGUUCCAAGGGUUGGGCUGUUCGCCCAUUAAAGUGGUACGCGAGCUGGGUUCAAAACGUCGUGAGACAGUUUGGUUCAUAUCCAUCGCGGGCGCAAGAAGUUUGAGGGAGGCUGCUCCUAGUACGAGAGGACCGGAGUGGACGGAUCAACGGUGUACCAGUUGUCACGCCAGUGGCACGGCUGGAAAGCCGCAUCCGGAAAGGAUAAACGCUGAAAGCAUCUAAGCGUGAAGCCCGUCCCGAGAUGAGACUUCUCAUCAGCAAUGAGUAAGACCCCUUAAAGACGAUGAGGUUGAUAGGCUGUGAGUGGAAGUGGCGCAAGUCAUGGAGCGACGCAGUACUAAUAGGUCGAGGUCUUAGCUUA
rnacentral:rRNA from 1 species